AUUGAACGCUGGCGGCAGGCCUAACACAUGCAAGUCGAGCGGAUGAAGGGAGCUUGCUCCUGGAUUCAGCGGCGGACGGGUGAGUAAUGCCUAGGAAUCUGCCUGGUAGUGGGGGAUAACGUCCGGACACGGGCGCUAAUACCGCAUACGUCCUGAGGGAGAAAGUGGGGGAUCUUCGGACCUCACGCUAUCAGAUGUGCCUAGGUCGGAUUAGCUAGUUGGUGGGGUAAAGGCCUACCAAGGCGACGAUCCGUAACUGGUCUGAGAGGAUGAUCAGUCACACUGGAACUGAGACACGGUCCAGACUCCUACGGGAGGCAGCAGUGGGGAAUAUUGGACAAUGGGCGAAAGCCUGAUCCAGCCAUGCCGCGUGUGUGAAGAAGGUCUUCGGAUUGUAAAACACUUUAAGUUGGGAGGAAGGGCAGUAAGUUAAUACCUUGCUGUUUUGACGGUACCAACAGAAUAAGCACCGGCUAACUUCGUG
rnacentral:rRNA from 1 species